AGUCACUGACAUUAGAUACCCGGGUAGUCCAGGGUGUAAACGCUGCCGACUUGGUGUUGGAGGCCCUUCGGGGGCAUUCAGUGCCGGAGAGAAGUUGUUAAGUCGGCCACUUGGGGAGUACGUCCGCAAGGAUGAAACUUAAAGGAAUUGGCGGGGGAGCACCGCAACGGGAGGAGCGUGCGGUUUAAUUGGAUUCAACACCGUAAAACUCACCAGGGAAGACUGUUACAUGAAGGCCGAGAUGAAGACUCUGCUAGGUUUUCAG
rnacentral:rRNA from 1 species